AUAAAAUUAGCAAGUGUUUUCUCCUCUUCUGUUUUCUGAGACAGAUUAUGUAGAAUUGUGUGUUAUUCCUUCUUUAGAUGUUACAUAGAAUUCCCCAGUGAAAUCAUCUGGGCCUGGAGAUGUCUUUCUUAAAAGAUUAACUACAAAUUUAUUUAAAAGAAAUAGUUACGGGUCCAUCCAGGUUGUUCAUCUUGACUACAUUGUUUUUACUUUUAUUUAUGGCACUUUGUGACAGAUAGAAACUUUAGACCUGUACUCCACUGUGUGCCAAUGACUCUGAUCUCUGUGUCUGUCCCUUCACCAAUAUACCACAUUAUCUUGAUUAUUGCUUUAUGGUAAAUCUUAAAAUCAGGUACUAUGAUUCCUCCAACUGUAUGCUUUUCCAAAACCAUUUUAGCUAUCCUAAUUUCAAACUCUUCUUUUAUGGUAUGUCUUUGUGUGCUUUGAAAAGUUCUUUCCUCCAAUUUUUAAUUUUAGUAUUUGUAUUCCAGUACUAUAUUUUCUUCUCGUUAAUUUACAUUUUUAGUUUUGAUGCAUGAAAUGUUAGUCCACCUGGAAUUUAGUGAAUGAUAUCAUAUAAAAAUCUAUAUUUUUAAAGUUAAAAAUUAGUAUAUAAGAAAAGGAUGAGGUGGCCUUGAAAUCUCUCAACUGUAUAAACAUAAACGUUUGUUUUUUCUCACUUUAAAAAAAAGCUAAAAUUUGUACAUAUUCACAGACUAAAUUUCUUAUAACCACAAAGACUACUUUUAAAAAGCUCAAGUAUAUAUGGAGAAGAUAUACUGUGAAUAUAGAGGAGGAAAUCUUAAAAGGAGAAAGAUGAUUAGCUGAAAACAAAGAAUCAGGAAGUCUUCAAUGGAUAUUUAUGCUUAAAAAAUAAUUAAAAGAAUACUUAAAAGAAAAAAAUGUUUAAUGACAUGGGGAAUACAAGCAUUGAAAAAUGUAGGAUGCAAAGCUUUCUCUAUAAUUCUGUCCAUCUCUCUAACUGGAAAAUAACAUACAGAAAAAGGUUACUUUUAUAAGCAAAGAAAACAGACAGUUUUAAAAUGAUCAAAUUACAUUCUUCAUGAAGCCUAAAUUCCUCCUGACAGGCCACUGAAUCCAUCAGUGUCCAUUAAUCUGAUCAAGCCAGCAGAGAAUGAUACAUUGUCCUCCCUCACUGGUUCAUUUGUGUCUCUCCCAAAGCCAAUCACUUUCAGAAAGAUGACCUUGCCAGACAAAGAACUAUUGUUGAAGCAUAAAUUAAUCAGUUGGCUUUCUCUGUAACUCCCAGUAUCUAACUAUUGAAUAUAGGUCAAGAAAAUGCUGCUAACAAACGUUCUCUCUUGCAAACCAGAGGAAAAGAGUCAAGGAGACUGAAAGUGGAGGAGGAGAUGGGGAACCAAUGCUUUACCCAUUUAUCACUGGAUUUCCUCAUCAACCGAUACUGCACAGCCACCUUCACAGUGUGUGUGAUAUCUACUAGUUAAGAAGAUGAAUCUUGCUGAGAUUCAAAAUAAAUAAAGGAUAUAGAAAUCAGAUGAUUUAUUUGUUUCUGACAUUCCAACAAUGUGGAAAUCAGAUGAUUUAUUUGUUUCUGACAUUCCAACACAUGUGGAGUUAUAUUAUCAGGUUUAAAUUAAUGUGUAAUUGAUUUUGUAUGAGACUGCGACUCACCUAAUCUUUCCAUUACAGGAAUAAAUAGCUAAUUAGAAUUGUAGAUAGACCAUUUGCCAAUGUGCUUCCCUCAUGCGACUGGGAAAUAACUUCAAGGCUACCUCUUUUACCUACCCCUGUGCUGGGCCUCUCCAGACAUGGCAUAAGCUUUGGCCAGUAACGCACUCGUUUCUGCAGUUUUGGGGCUGACUUCAGUGAACAAAGAAACACAGAUAGAAUGAGCCUGGAAUAAAGAAAGUCAUGACAAGGUUGAAAUAGGCUUCUCUGCCAGUGAAACAGUCAAGGAAGAUGCCAAGCACUCAAACUAACAUCCACUGCACAGGGACAGCAGGUGAUAAGGAAACAAAAGGGGCUCUUGGAAAAAUGAAGUAAUAUUAAAAAUGGUUACCUAA